rnacentral:rRNA from 1 species
UAUCCUGGCUCAGGAUGAACGCUGGCGGCGUGCUUAACACAUGCAAGUCGAACGGAAGAUAUGCAGAGAUGAGAUUUCGGUCAAAUCAAGUGUAUCUUUAGUGGCGGACGGGUGAGUAACGCGUGGGUAACCUGCCAUAUACAGGGGGAUAACACUUAGAAAUAGGUGCUAAUACCGCAUAAGCGCACAUGGCCGCAUGGCCAGGUGUGAAAAACUCCGGUGGUAUAUGAUGGACCCGCGUCUGAUUAGCUAGUUGGUGAGGUAACGGCCCACCAAGGCGACGAUCAGUAGCCGGCCUGAGAGGGUGGACGGCCACAUUGGGACUGAGACACGGCCCAAACUCCUACGGGAGGCAGCAGUGGGGGAUAUUGGACAAUGGGGGGAACCCUGAUCCAGCGACGCCGCGUGAGUGAAGAAGUAUCUCGGUAUGUAAAGCUCUAUCAGCAGGGAAGAAAGAAAUGACGGUACCUGAGUAAGAAGCCCCGGCUAACUACGUG